GUGCUAGCUUGAAAACGUCCACUCACUAUAGUGUUACCACCGUAGCAUUUAGCCGCCGUUAGCAAAGAUAACGUCAGCUGCAAGCUAACACCGUUAAAAAUGCUAAGUGGAUUUCAUUAGCAAGCUAACAUCAUUAUAUUUCUAUGAACAUGAUUUGUGUGUAAAGAGCUUCGCAACUGAGGUGAUUUGACCUCCACAAAGAAGAGGACUGGACCUUGUCUGGUGCCUGAAGAGUUUGGAAGGGUACAUGCAGUCCACGAUCUCCUGGAUCUGCGACAGCUCCAGGUUCUUCAUGAAGUCAUUGUCCAAAAUGGCUUCCUUGAUCAGAUCCUUGGACCUGGAGACGAGAUGAACGCCGUGCAGUUUGAAACUGUCAAAGCCGAGCGUCAGUCAGAUCCUCUGUGAUGGGACAGUGUGAUUGGAGAGAAGUCUGCAGUGAGUCAAGAUCACUCAUUCAUUGAAGCAUGUCAUCACCACAAUCUGAGUUGCUCAGCUGAGUGCUGCGUGGCUGCUAAGUGUCAGCUGGAUGAAUGAGGUUAAUAAUAUGUAUCAGGGUUAAUCCAACAAGAAGUCCCAUCCUACUGAGCAGUGAAUCUUUUUUUUACCUAAUUCAUUAAAAAAUGACAGAGAGCUACUACUCCCUUCCAGCGCGAUUGGAAGGCACUGGUGAACUGCCUGUUGCCUUUUUAUGCUUGUUGUCCUUUUCUGAUUUCUAUGUGCACUGUUGACGCAGAUCACCUGAGGAGCUUUAGCUAAAAGGGCAAACAUCCUUGAAGGCAUUUUAUGAAGCGGUGCUCUCACUUCACACCGGCAUCUCUGUCCUGCUGCCAGCCUGCAGCAAAGUCUUAGGCAAACCACAGAAAUACACAAACAAAACUUCACUGUCUGCCACAAUAUCGACAGGGCCCAGUUUUUUAUGUGCUGAGCACUUAGCACAUAUCCAUGUUUCUAGAACAAAUAAUAAAACUCUUCUGUACGUU